rnacentral:rRNA from 1 species
GACGAACGCUGGCGGCGUGCCUAAUACAUGCAAGUCGAACGCUGAAGAGAGGAGCUUGCUCUUCUUGGAUGAGUUGCGAACGGGUGAGUAACGCGUAGGUAACCUGCCUUGUAGCGGGGGAUAACUAUUGGAAACGAUAGCUAAUACCGCAUAACAAUGGAUGACACAUUUCAUUUAUGUGAAAGGGGCAAUUGCUCCACUACAAGAUGGAUCUGCGUUGUAUUAGCUAGUAGGUGAGGUAAUGGCUCACCUAGGCGACGUUACAGAGCCGACCUGAGAGGGUGAUGGGCCCACCUGGGACGGGGACACGGCCCAGUCGCCCACGGGAGGCAGCAGUAGGGCAUCUUCGGCAAGGGGGGGAACCCUGACCGAGAAACGCCGAGGGAGGGAAGAAGGUUUUCGGAUCGUAAAGCUCGGUUGUAAGUCAAGAACGGGUGUGAGAGUGGAAAGUUCACACUGUGACGGUAGCUGACCAGAAAGGGACGGCUAACUACGUG